rnacentral:rRNA from 1 species
ACGCUGGCGGCGUGCCUAAUACAUGCAAGUCGAGCGAGCUGAAUUCAAAGAUCCCUUCGGGGUGAUUUGUUGGACGCUAGCGGCGGAUGGGUGAGUAACACGUGGGCAAUCUGCCCUAAAGACUGGGAUACCACUUGGAAACAGGUGCUAAUACCGGAUAACAACAUGAAUCGCAUGAUUCAAGUUUGAAAGGCGGCGCAAGCUGUCACUUUAGGAUGAGCCCGCGGCGCAUUAGCUAGUUGGUGGGGUAAAGGCCUACCAAGGCAAUGAUGCGUAGCCGAGUUGAGAGACUGAUCGGCCACAUUGGGACUGAGACACGGCCCAAACUCCUACGGGAGGCAGCAGUAGGGAAUCUUCCACAAUGGACGCAAGUCUGAUGGAGCAACGCCGCGUGAGUGAAGAAGGUUUUCGGAUCGUAAAGCUCUGUUGUUGGUGAAGAAGGAUAGAGGCAGUAACUGGUCUUUAUUUGACGGUAAUCAACCAGAAAGUCACGGCUAACUACGUGCCAGCAGCCGCGGUAAUACGUAGGCGGCAAGCGUUGUCCGGAUUUAUUGGGCGUAAAGCGAGCGCAGGCGGAAUGAUAAGUCUGAUGUGAAAGCCCACGGCUCAACCGUGGAACUGCAUCGGAAACUGUCAUUCUUGAGUGCAGAAGAGGAGAGUGGAACUCCAUGUGUAGCGGUGGAAUGCGUAGAUAUAUGGAAGAACACCAGUGGCGAAGGCGGCUCUCUGGUCUGCAACUGACGCUGAGGCUCGAAAGCAUGGGUAGCGAACAGGAUUAGAUACCCUGGUAGUCCAUGCCGUAAACGAUGAGCGCUAGGUGUUGGGGACUUUCCGGUCCUCAGUGCCGCAGCAAACGCAUUAAGCGCUCCGCCUGGGGAGUACGACCGCAAGGUUGAAACUCAAAGGAAUU